rnacentral:rRNA from 1 species
GACGGGUGAGUAACACGUGAGUAACCUGCCCUUGACUCUGGGAUAAGCCUGGGAAACUGGGUCUAAUACCGGAUACGACCAUUCCGCGCAUGCGGUGGUGGUGGAAAGCUUUUGCGGUUUUGGAUGGACUCGCGGCCUAUCAGCUUGUUGGUGGGGUAAUGGCCUACCAAGGCGACGACGGGUAGCCGGCCUGAGAGGGUGACCGGCCACACUGGGACUGAGACACGGCCCAGACUCCUACGGGAGGCAGCAGUGGGGAAUAUUGCACAAUGGGCGAAAGCCUGAUGCAGCGACGCCGCGUGAGGGAUGACGGCCUUCGGGUUGUAAACCUCUUUCAGUAGGGAAGAAGCGAAAGUGACGGUACCUGCAGAAGAAGCGCCGGCUAACUACGUGCCAGCAGCCGCGGUAAUACGUAGGGCGCAAGCGUUAUCCGGAAUUAUUGGGCGUAAAGAGCUCGUAGGCGGUUUGUCGCGUCUGCUGUGAAAGACCGGGGCUCAACUCCGGUUCUGCAGUGGGUACGGGCAGACUAGAGUGAUGUAGGGGAGACUGGAAUUCCUGGUGUAGCGGUGAAAUGCGCAGAUAUCAGGAGGAACACCGAUGGCGAAGGCAGGUCUCUGGGCAUUAACUGACGCUGAGGAGCGAAAGCAUGGGGAGCGAACAGGAUUAGAUACCCUGGUAGUCCAUGCCGUAAACGUUGGGCACUAGGUGUGGGGGACAUUCCACGUUUUCCGCGCCGUAGCUAACGCAUUAAGUGCCCCCGCCU